rnacentral:rRNA from 1 species
GGGGAAUAUUGCACAAUGGGCGCAAGCCUGAUGCAGCCAUGCCGCGUGUGUGAAGAAGGCCUUCGGGUUGUAAAGCACUUUCAGCGGGGAGGAAGGCGGUGAGGUUAAUAACCUUGUCGAUUGACGUUACCCGCAGAAGAAGCACCGGCUAACUCCGUGCCAGCAGCCGCGGUAAUACGGAGGGUGCAAGCGUUAAUCGGAAUUACUGGGCGUAAAGCGCACGCAGGCGGUCUGUCAAGUCAGAUGUGAAAUCCCCGGGCUCAACCUGGGAAAUGCACUCGAAACUGGCAGGCUAGAGUCUUGUAGAGGGGGGUAGAAUUCCAGGUGUAGCGGUGAAAUGCGUAGAGAUCUGGAGGAAUACCGGUGGCGAAGGCGGCCCCCUGGACAAAGACUGACGCUCAGGUGCGAAAGCGUGGGGAGCAAAC